CCUACGGGAGGCAGCAGUGGGGAAUAUUGCGCAAUGGGCGAAAGCCUGAUGCAGCGAUGCCGCGUGUGGGAUGAAGGCCUUCGGAUCGUAAAGCUCUGUCAGCAGGGAAGAACGGUCACUGUGCUAUUCAGCAGUGAAUUGACGGUACCUGCAAAGGAAGCACCGGCUAACUCCGUGCCAGCAGCCGCGGUAAUACGGAGGGUGCGAGCGUUAAUCGGAAUUACUGGGCGUAAAGCGCACGUAGGCGGUCUGUCAAGUCAGGUGUGAAAUCCCCGCGCUCAACGUGGGAACUGCCUUUGAUACUGGCAAGCUUGAGUGUGGUAGAGGGGAGUAGAAUUCCAGGUGUAGCGGUGAAAUCCGUAGAGAUCUGGAGGAAUACCAGUGGCGAAGGCGACCACCUGGCAGAUAACUGACGCUGAGGUGCGAAAGCGUGGGUAGCAAACAGGAUUAGAUACCCUGGUAGUC
rnacentral:rRNA from 1 species